AGCCCUCAUCUCCUCUGGAGGUGUAUGUGCCCAGCACAGCCUGGCUACCAGUGCUGCUUCUUUGGGCAGGUCUCCUUGAGGCUCAGAUAAUCCCCUUGCUUUUCAGCAAAUUCUCAGAGUCCAGGCAGUACCAUGUGACCAUCUCCUCUCUCCUCUGCCAUCUUGCCUACCAAUGGGAAGAACUCUUGCUGGGCUUUGCAAGGGAGCAGGUGCUACUGCUCCCUGCUCCUUCCUAUCUCUUUUGGUCAAGAAUGCAGACCAUGAACAUAACACCUUCGUUCUUGUUCCUUGGACCAGUCAUCCAGGGCACGUGGACCCUCCCAGUGGCACACUGUGCCAGCCCAAGGGCUACCACAGGCGACUUCAAAAUGAGCAGGUUCCUUGCAGGGAGAUGUGCAGUACAGUGUCACACCACCAGGGGGCGCUGCCCAGCUGGUAUCUUUCUCCUUCACGCUCUGCCGGGUUU